rfam:Nematostella vectensis strain CH2 x CH6 NEMVEscaffold_253_Cont20985, whole genome shotgun sequence.
CCUUCGAUAGCACAGUUGGUAGAGCGGGUGACUGUAGAUUUAUAAUUGUGAUCCCUAGGUCGCUGGUUCGAAUCCGGCUCGAAGGA